CCUUGCUUCCGUUCAGGAGAAGGGACAUCUGGAAAGGCUGUGUCAAGGCCUUGCCACAGCCCCACCUGGGCUCCACCAGGCACAUGAAGGCUGCCCGCCCCACUGAGGAGCCGCUUUCCCAACCUGGAAGUGAUUUUCAAUGUUUCCUCACUGGGCAGUGCCAUUCAGCUACUGGUAGGUAAGGUGCAGGAACCAUGGGGCGUUCGUGUGUGGGUGCCUGUAUGUGUGUGCAUGUGUAUUCGUGUGUGUGCGUGUGUGUACAUUCAUGUGUGUGCCUGUGCGUGUGUGUACAUGUGCGCAUGUGUGUUCGUGUGUGUGCACAUUUAUGGACAUGUAUGUGUGUGUGCAUGUGUGUGCAUGUUCAAGUGUGUGUGUGUGUGUGUGUGUGUGUGUGUUUUGCUUCCACCCUUCCUCCCAGUCUUAUUCAUCCUAAGCCUCAUCCUAUUGCCCUCUGGGAGAUGUCCUGAUGGCCUCAGAAUGCCCCUCCUUUAUGUCCUCAGCACUCCCUGAAGCUUAAAUGACACAUUUCUGACUCAUCACACUCAAAGCUAUGCGGUGUCUGCUCAGCUGCUCAGGAGGGAUCUUGAGGCCCAAACUGUAUCCAGAUAGGUGAGAGGGGUCACAAACGGCCCGCAGGCUGGAGACUGAGAUGAAACUAACGUUUCUCGUAUCACUGCUGUGUGCUGGCUGUUGCGCAGGUUGCUUCUCAUCUUUCGUCUCAUUUAAUCCCUGCGGCAAUUUCAUAGAAAGAUAUAAUUCAUACCAUUUCUCCAGGAGGAGAAAUUGGGCUCAGAGAGAGCUGAGGAUUUUUCCCGAGGUCUUGCAGCAGGGCAGGGGCUGAGCUCAGAUGUGUCUCUAAAGCUUGGGUGUUUCUCCUAUGCCUCACUGGUCCAAAAGUCUAUCCCAGAUGAGCACAGAAGCCCAUAUCUCCAGUUGGGUUCUUCCAGAAGCUGACCCUGCCAUAUAUAUCAUUUAUAUUCACAUAUGAUAUAUUACUGGAAUGCCCCCUUGAGAAUCUGGCAAGACAGCGGGUAAAGCAGGAUAAGAAAGAGGAAGAAGCCAAGCAAGGGGAGAUUGCAGGUGAGGUCCCAACCUCAGCCUGACUCCACAGGGAUGGCUGGAAGGUAAAUCACACCUCGGGAUUGGUCCUGCUUCAAGCUACCGUUGCUGAUCUUUUUACUCUCCUACUGGUUCCUGCCUACAGGUUGCCUGGAAGUGAUUGGAGGGGAAGGAAUGCCAAUUCUCAGACAUUUCCAGCUCUCCUUACAGGCGAGGCAGCUGGCUCCAAUAGCCCAAGGGAAACUGCUGGAAAAGAGAGGAGCAUGCCCCUCCUGGAGCUUUCUUCCUUCCCGCUGGCCGGAAUGCAGUUGUGAUCAUUUGAGUUUCAGCAGCCACCUUGGGCCAUUUGGAGGAAGGCAUCUGCUGUGCAUGGCAGAGUCACGUGAAAGAAGGAAGCUGAUUCAUUAUCACCAGGUCACCGUGUCAGCCCUGGACUGCCUACUUCUGAACUUUUUACUUGAGGGAUUAAAGUAACCCUGGGUGUUUAAUCAUUGUUAAUUUGGAUUUUCUGCCAUUAAUAACCAAAUCAAGUUCUAACUGAUAGAAACACGCAGGGAAAAAACGUUGAAUGGAAAAGUAGGCACAAAAGUGGAUGUUCUUCAUGGAUCCCAGCUAUUUAAGUUAUAGAUUGGUACAGAGAUGGUGAUUGAAUGGUGAGUCAUCAAUAAUAGUGUGAUGGUGUUGAUUGGAUUUUUCCCUCUGUAAACAAGUUUAGUUGCUGAAUCGGUCAGGAGAGGCUAGGUUAUGCUGAGGUGACAAGCAACUCCUAAAUUUCAGGGCCGUAAGACAACUCAAUUUAAUUCUUACUCUCCAUGUUCGUCGUGGGUCAGCAGGAGGCUGUGCUCAUGGCAGUCACUCAGAGCACUGGCUGACAGAGACGCUGUGACAGAGGGCAAGAGAGAACGCUGGAAGGUCUCGCUCUCACCAGGAAUUAAAUGCCACGGCCUGAAAGUGACACUUUCAUGGUGCUCACAACUCAUUGGCCAGGACCAGUCCUAGAACCUGGCCCACCCACAUGGAGGCAACGAGUGCAACUCUGCCACCUGCCCAGAAGGCGGCGAGCUGGAGAGACUUGGCAGAUUGCACCAGUGAUGAUCACAGAUACAUCAUGAAGAAAACGUAAGAGCACAAACAUUUGUGAAAUAAUUUUUAGAAGUCCUUCCAGAA
rnacentral:lncRNA from 10 species